rnacentral:rRNA from 1 species
GACGAACCGUGCGAACGUUAUUCGGAAUCACUGGGCUUAAAGCGCGUGUAGGCGGGAGGGCACGUCCGUCGCUGAAAUCCCCCGGCUCAACCGGGGAACGGGCGCGGAUACGACCUUCCUGGAGGGGCGUAGGGGGACCUGGAACUUCCGGUGGAGCGGUGAAAUGCGUUGAGAUCGGAAGGAACGCCGGUGGCGAAAGCGCACUGCUGGACCUUUUCUGACGCUGAGGCGCGAAAGCCAGGGGAGCAAACGGG